UACGGAGGGGGCUAGCGUUGUUCGGAAUUACUGGGCGUAAAGAGCUCGUAGGCGGUCUGUCGCGUCGAAUGUGAAAACCCGGGGCUCAACCCCCGGGCCUGCAUUCGAUACGGGCAGACUAGAGUUCGGUAGGGGAGUCUGGAAUUCCUGGUGUAGCGGUGAAAUGCGCAGAUAUCAGGAGGAACGCCGGUGGCGAAGGCGGGACUCUGGGCCGAUACUGACGCUGAGGAGCGAAAGCGUGGGGAGCGAACAGG
rnacentral:rRNA from 1 species